rnacentral:rRNA from 1 species
AGCUCCAAUAGCGUAUAUUAAAGUUGUUGCAGUUAAAAAGCUCGUAGUUGGAUUUGGGACUGGAGUCGUUCGGUCGGCCGCAAGGUCUGUUACUGAACGGCUCUGUCAUCACAUUCCCAGAGACCUGCCGUGUACUUAACUGUGUGCGGUACGGGAUUUGGGACGUUUACUUUGAAAAAAUUAGAGUGCUCAAAGCAGGCUAUCACGCUUGAAUAUUCGUGCAUGGAAUAAUGGAAUAGGAAGUCGUUUCUAUUUUGUUGGUUUUCGGAAAUUGACUUAAUGAUUAAUAGGGACAGCCGGGGGCAUUAGUAUUCGGACGACAGAGGUGAAAUUCUUGGACCGUCUGAAGACUAACUACUGCGAAAGCAUUUGCCAAGAGUGUUUUCAUUAAUCAAGAACG